rnacentral:rRNA from 1 species
CAGGUGGUGCAUGGCUGUCGUCAGCUCGUGUCGUGAGAUGUUGGGUUAAGUCCCGCAACGAGCGCAACCCUUGUCUUAUGUUGCCAGCACGUAAUGGUGGGGACUCGUAAGAGACUGCCGGGGUCAACUCGGAGGAAGGUGGGGACGACGUCAAGUCAUCAUGCCCCUUAUGUCCAGGGCUUCACACAUGCUACAAUGGCCAGUACAGAGGGCUGCGAGACCGUGAGGUGGAGCGAAUCCCUUAAAGCUGGUCUCAGUUCGGAUCGGGGUCUGCAACUCGACCCCGUGAAGUCGGAGUCGCUAGUAAUCGCAGAUCAGCAACGCUGCGGUGAAUACGUUCCCGGGCCUUGUACACACCGCCCGUCACGUCAUGAAAGUCGGUAACACCCGAAGCCGGUGGCCUAACCCCUCGUGGGAGGGAGCCGUCGAAGGUGGAUCGGCGAUUGGACG